GUACACACCGCCCGUCACACCAUGGGAGUUGGUUCUACCCGAAGGCGCUGCGCUAACCGCAAGGAGGCAGGCGACCACGGUAGGGUCAGCGGCUGGGGUGAAGUCGUAACAAGGUAGCCGUAGGUGAACCUGCAGAAGGAUCA
rnacentral:rRNA from 1 species